GUCCAAUUGCAGGUUCUUCACUCUCCCAUCCCUGGCACUCUCUCUCUCUCUCUCUCUCUUGUGUCAGCCUUGGAUGAACCCCAGUCCAUUUCUCCCUCCUCUCUCUAACGCUUGUCCCUUUCGCACACACACAGGCAGUGGCUCAGCCCACACAGGCAGUGGCUCCGCCCACACAGGCAGUGGCUUCGCCCACACAGGGAGUGGCUCCGCCCACACAGGCAGUGGCUCCGCCCACAGACCCGCCCCUCUCAGCAGUAGCUGCGGGUCUGGCCCUCGGUGUGGAUGGUCCAGUUGGGGCCCGGCAGGCUGCCCUGGCGGGUGAGC